UACGUAGGGCGCAAGCGUUGUCCGGAAUUAUUGGGCGUAAAGAGCUCGUAGGUGGUUUGUUACGUCUGCUGUGAAAACCUAGGGCUUAACCCUGGGCCUGCAGUGGAUACGGGCAGACUAGAGGUAGGUAGGGGAGAAUGGAAUUCCCGGUGUAGCGGUGAAAUGCGCAGAUAUCGGGAGGAACACCGGUGGCGAAGGCGGUUCUCUGGGCCUUACCUGACACUGAGGAGCGAAAGCUAGGGGAGCGAACAGG
rnacentral:rRNA from 1 species